GAAGAAUUCGAAUGCGCGUUCUAAGAAUUCCAACGUUCAACAGCCAGCUGAUACGUGAUUGGUCAGUUUUGCGCUGUGGGCGAAGCUUCUCGUAGUUGAAAAAUUCACUAGCUAGCGGUUGUUUAUUUCCGUCACGGUUGUUUUUGGAGCAAAAUAAAACUGAUUUGUCAGGAAAUCUUUGUUUGACUCGUGAAUAUUUCCUGCUGGACGAAUCAUUACUGGUCGUUUGGUGAACCAGAGAUUCGUUUUUUUUUAAAUCAGGGUCGAUUUAAAUACAUUUACAGGAUUCAGAGGAUAGAUACACGGAGAAUGUGAUGCGACUGAGAGAAGAAACCUCCAAGCACCACAAGAAAAGGACCAUUUGCUAUCGCUGAGCUUUCCGGAUGUCUGUUCUCAGAUCCUGCGGUUUGACGUCUCCUCAGCAGAACCAGAAGGGCAUCCACAGAAGUGAACGCAUCGCGGCACCAGCGGCCAUUCCUGCCAGGAGACCCAGUGCAAUCUGCUCUCCAAAGCCGUCCUCAUAAGAGUCUCUGUGCACCCACACAUGCUGAGUCCCUGCAGAGAC
rnacentral:lncRNA from 1 species